CAUGCUUUCAUGUAUGCGCCAUAACACAAACAUUUCACAACAAGGAUGAACUUGUCACCAUUUAGCCCCUAUCUUUCUUACUUAUACAUGCCGGGGGCGUAGAGCCGUAGCAGGCACACCCGGACUUCCAUAAUCAGUCAUAGUGCCAGGGGCGUAGAGCCGUAGCAGGCACACCUGGACUCACAUAGGCUAUCAUGACAUACAAGGGCUAAUGGAUCAUUCAACAUUCGUCCAC
rnacentral:lncRNA from 1 species